ensembl:lncRNA
GUUUAUUAGGGAGCGCCCCCAUGGGCAACACCUGUAGGUUGUGAAGGCACUAUGAUUGGGCAGAAGGAGGAGUUGGACUACGAGGCAUUUGCAACAAAAGCCUCAGUUGACCCCACUGGGAACUCUGGAGCAGGACAAAUCUUCGCAACUCCGUCUCUUGAGGCCAUUGUCCUCAUCCUAUCGCCUCCCUGCUUGCUCAGCUCCAACCCCACCUGUCUUUCUCACGUUGAACUAGCUUUAAGGAGAAGAGACACAAUUGCCAGCAGGUGAAAGGUAGAGAUGUUCAAAAUUGACUGUCUUAAGAAGACUCCUGGGCAGAAAAAUGUGAGAAUAACCUGAGUGAAGAUAUGAACAUACCAAGAGAAAGAUUGUGUCAAUCAUAAAGAGAAUAGAUCAUCAGUGAAGGAAUAAACAUAGGAAAAGUAGAAGAUACACCAGGAAAGAAGAAAGCGAGAGUGCAGCACACAGCAUCCAGAACUGAGGAGCACUAUCAAACAGCUUAAUGUAUGUGUAAUUAGAAUUAUAAACAGAGAAGGAGAGAGACUGGAGCAGAAGAAAUCUAGAAGAGAUAAGAAAAAGGAUCAAUUAAGUCCAACACAAACAGAAAGAAGGAAAUAACAAAGUAUCUGGGGAUCACUCGAGUUUCAACUGAUCGAGGCUGGGCUCAGCUUACCUUGGCUCCUGGUAGUGAGUUGGGUCCAGAUCUUCUCUACAUGUCUUCAUCACCUUUGAAUAAGCAAAUACUCAAGGCAUGAUCUUCUCAUAGUGGAAAGGCAAGAGCAAAAGAGAAGAGGAGUAAAAGAAACAUGUGAUGUCUGUUAAGACUCUGGCUAAGAACUGUAAAAUGUCAUUUUCACCAACAUUCCAAUGCCCCAAAUCAGUCAUAUGGUCAAGCCAUUUUUUUUUUUUUCACUGAGGAAGAUUUUCCCUGAAAUAACAUCUGUUGCCAAUCUUCCUCUGUUUUGUAUGUGGGCGACCUCCACAGCAUGGCCACUGAUGAGUGGUGUAGGUCUGUGGCUGGGAACUGAACCCAGGCCACCAAAGUGGACCACGCUGAAUUUAACCACUAGGCCACUGGCACUGGUCCAAGGCUAACAUUUUCGAGAUGGGGAAGCGCACUCCUCCCUUGAAGGUUGAAAAGAAGAGUGAAUAUUUGCUCAUUAAUAACCUAAUUUUUCAUAGUCUGCAAAUUACUAUUUUCAAUACUGCUCUAUCAGCAUCCUACUACUCAAAUUUUGAUGAGAGAGUUCCCUUGCUUUGCUGCUCUUGUCAAACAAAUGAAUAAAUAUAUUCAAUACAGUAUUGUUUUUGUUUUGUGAGGAAGAUUUUCCCUGAGCUAACAUCUGUUACCAAUCCUCUUCUACAUUUUUUUUUUUUUUUUUAGGAAGAUUAGCCUGGAGCUAACAUGUGCUGCCAAUCCUCCUCUUUUUGCUAAGGAAGACUGGCCCUGAGCUAACAUCUGUGCCCAUCUUCCUCCAGUGUAUAUGUGGGAAGCCUGCCACAGCAUGGCUUGCCAGGUGGUGCCAUGUCCGUGCACCUGGGAUCCGAACUGGUGAACCCCGUGCUGCCGAGAAGUAGAAUGUGCACACUUAACCACUGCACCACUGGGCUGGACCUCUUUUUUUCUUUUUGUUUGAGGAAGAUUAGCCCUGAGCUAACAUCUGUGCCAAUCUUCCUCUGCUUUCUAUGUGGGAUGCCUCCCCAGCAUGGUUUAUGAGUGGAGUAGGUCUGCACCUGGGAUCAGAACUCGCAAACCUUGGGCCACCAAAGCAGAGCAUGUAGAACUUUAACCACUUGGUCACAGGGCCAGCCCCACAAUAUAGUUUUAAUUCAUUGAUAAUGCAAGUAAUCACUUUGCUCAUUUCAUUUGCGAUGCAUCAAUAUAUAUGUGACCACCAAAAUGUCACAGUUAUCAGUGACCCAGGAAAGCAAAACUGAGUCAUGUGUAUAGUAAACACAGAACUAGUGUUUUGGAAUCACAGAACACUAAAUAUCUUUUAAUGAAGAGCUUAUAUCAAUGAAUACUAGAAAGGAGGAAACUGGAGAACAGAGUUUAAGCCAUGAUCCAAGUUCCCCAGCUAAUUAAUGGCAUAGCCAUGACCCAACUUAUUAUCCUUCCCACUGUACUUCCAUGGUAUUUAUGAAUCUAGCAACUUUUCAUUUAGUUUGCACACAUGCAUGUGCACACACGAACGAUGUUAGAAGGAAAUAAAGGCAGAACUGCUUCUGCAUUGAAGUGACAUUUAUCGGGAUAAUAUACCUUCUAUGACUAACCUUUGGAUUCUGCAUCAGUUUGACUUAAAUGGGAACAUAGAUGGAAGAGUUUGGGAAAUGAAAAUUGAAAUAUCAUCUGUAUGACAGAUAAUACUGAUUGGGGAAUGUAGCUUAGGUCUGAGGGACAAAGGAGCUUUCUAAAGCUUUCUCCUUCCCUAAUUUGGAUGAUUAGCCCCAAUCUAGCUUUGGGACAGCCUACAUGAAGAAAGAUGUGAACUCUGCAGGGCAGAUUCUGAAUCACUCUCCUUCAAUGGUCCAGGGAAGAGAGGGAAGAAAAGAGACUGAAUCUUCAGUGCUCACUGCCUUACAAGAAACUA